rnacentral:rRNA from 1 species
GUAGGGAAUAUUGGGCAAUGGACGAGAGUCUGACCCAGCCAUGCCGCGUGCAGGAAGACGGCGUUAUGCGUUGUAAACUGCUUUUAUCUGGGAAGAAAAAGUCCAUGCGUGGAAAAUUGCCGGUACCAGAUGAAUAAGCACCGGCUAACUCCGUGCCAGCAGCCGCGGUAAUACGGAGGGUGCAAGCGUUGUCCGGAUUUAUUGGGUUUAAAGGGUGCGUAGGCGGCUCUUUAAGUCAGUGGUGAAAGACCCCGGCUCAACCGGGGCAGUGCCAUUGAUACUGGGGAGCUUGAGUGUUGGAGGGGUACAUGGAAUUGAUGGUGUAGCGGUGAAAUGCAUAGAUACCAUCAGGAACACCGAUAGCGAAGGCAUUGUACUGGCCAACAACUGACGCUGAGGCACGAAAGCAUGGGUAGCGAACAGGAUUAGAAACCCUAGUAGUCC